CAGACUGAAUCCUUCGGGAUGACGUUUGUGGAACGAGCGGCGGACGGGUGAGUAACACGUGGGCAACCUACCUGUAAGACUGGGAUAACUCCGGGAAACCGGAGCUAAUACCGGAUGAAACUUUUUGUCACCUGACAGAAAGAUGAAAGGCGGCUUUGGCUGUCACUUACAGAUGGGCCCGCGGCGCAUUAGCUAGUUGGUGAGGUAACGGCUCACCAAGGCGACGAUGCGUAGCCGACCUGAGAGGGUGAUCGGCCACACUGGGACUGAGACACGGCCCAGACUCCUACGGGAGGCAGCAGUAGGGAAUCUUCCGCAAUGGACGAAAGUCUGACGGAGCAACGCCGCGUGAGUGAUGAAGGUUUUCGGAUCGUAAAACUCUGUUGUUAGGGAAGAACAAGUAUCGUUCGAAUAGGGCGGUACCUUGACGGUACCUAACCAGAAAGCCCCGGCUAACUACGUGCCAGCAGCCGCGGUAAUACGUAGGGGGCAAGCGUUGUCCGGAAUUAUUGGGCGUAAAGCGCUCGCAGGCGGCCUUUUAAGUCUGAUGUGAAAGCCCACGGCUUAACCGUGGAGGGUCAUUGGAAACUGAAGGGCUUGAGUACAGAA
rnacentral:rRNA from 1 species